rnacentral:lncRNA from 1 species
CACACACACACGCGCACGCGUACAGCACUGCCUGGAUGCAGAGGUCAGAAAACAACUUGUGAGAGUCAGUCAGUUCUUUCCUUCCACCCUGUGGGACCUGACAGUUGAACUCAGGUCAUCAGGCUUAGUAGUUCAUGUCUCUACCCAUGGAGCAAUCCCCCAAGACUUUUGGCCUGCUUCCUUACAGAACACAGCACCACCAGCCCUGGGAUGGCACCACCCACAAUGAGUUGGGGCCUACUGAUCAAUCACUAAUGAAGAAAAUGCUUUAAAGUCUUGGCUACAGCCUGAUCUUAUGAAGACAUUUUCUCAGUUGAGGUUCCCUCCUCUUGGAUGACACCAGCUUGUGUCAAGUUGACAUCAAACUAUCCAGCACAGGGCCCAUGGAAGGAACAAACGGCAGACCUGAGUUAUCCUUAAUUCAGCAAGCAUGAGCUCCUAACAAGAGUCUACACGAGAUAAUAAACCUAAAAUUAAAAUGAAAACUCCUAUAAGUCAACAAAGGAGGAACCUUCGGUAACCUGCAAUGAUCUUUAAAAAUGCAAUAUAGAAGGCAAGAUUCAUGAAAGAAAAUCACCGAGAAGCUGCAAAAACAAUGUAAAGAAAAUAAGAAGGCUACCGAAGUGGCCAGUCUCACUGGCUGAUUCAGCAAGUGCGAGCCUCCACAGUGACAUUUCCUUCAACCAAACCACACCCACUCCAACGAGGCCACGCCUCCUAAUAGUACUGAAUGCUGCUACCUUUGGAGGCCAAUGCCUUUCAAUCCACCAUGUAGCCUAUCCAAAAGGAACUCUGCAACUGGCUUUAAAAGAGGAAAAUAGACCAAUAGACUGGGAGGUAACGAAGCACGCCUUUAGUUCCAGCACUCAGGAGGCAGAGGCAGGUGGAUCUCUGAGUUCCAGGCCAGCCUGGUCUACAGAGCGAGUUUAAGGACAGCCAGGGCUACAUAGAGAAACCCUGUCUCGAAAAACCAAAAGGAAAAUUUUCUUCUAUUUGUUGAUAAUAAAACCACUUAUCAUUGAGAACUUUUCAGAGUCUGUGUAGAGUCCAAAGGACCUAAAAGGUGACCCGUUUCUUUUCAUUUGUG